UCAAACCAAGACAAACUGACUUUUGUGAUACAAAACAAACCGGUGGCAACACAAUUCAUUUGGCCAAUAUUAUAGUGGAGGCUGUAAUUAAGCUCACAACUGCCUCUGGAAAUCCGCCCAACAACUUCGAAACUGGUGGACCUGCAAUUGUAGCUAACAUUCUUCCCAGCAUGUUCAAGGCGGUCAGGUUGAUUGUAAAUGGAACCCUUUUGAAUCCUCAGUGCGACAAUUGUCGGUUUGUCUCUUACUUAUCUUCAACAUUGUCUUACGGUAACGACGCUAAAAUGAGCCAAAAGUGCAUGGAGGGCUAUUACCAGGAUGAUCUCUCUGGCGGUGUGCAAUCAAAUGGUGUGGGUAAUCCAUAAUUUCACUUUUUCUUCUGUUUAUAACCUUUUCGAAAACCAUUUCAGAUAAAUAAC